AAUCAUUCACAAUGGGCGAAAGCCUGAUGGUGCGACGCCGCGUGGAGGAUGACAGCCCUAGGGUUGUAAACUCCUGUCAUGAGAGAGUAAAGACUUAACGUUAAUACCGUUGGGUCCUGAUAGUAUCUCAAGAGGAAGGGACGGCUAACUUCGUGCCAGCAGCCGCGGUAAUACGAAGGUCCCAAGCGUUGUUCGGAAUUACUGGGCGUAAAGCGUGCGUAGGUGGCAUGGUAAGUCAGAUGUGAAAUCCCGGGGCUCAACCCCGGAACUGCAUCCGAUACUGCCAAGCUAGAGUAGUGGAGGGGAGUCUGGAAUUCACGGUGUAGCAGUGAAAUGCGUAGAUAUCGUGAGGAACACUAGUGGCGAAGGCGAGACUCUGGACACUAACUGACACUGAGGCACGAAGGCUAGGGUAGCGAAAGGGAUUAGAUACCCCUGUAGUCCUAGCAGUAAACGGUGCGCGUUUGGUGUGGGCGGGUUCGACCCCGUCCGUGCCGAAGCUAACGCGUUAAACGCGCCGCCUGGGGAGUACGGCCGCAAGGCUAAAACUCAAAGAAAUUGACGGGGACCCGCACAAGCGGUGGAGUAUGUGGCUUAAUUCGAUGCAACGCGAAGAACCUUACCUAGGCUUGACAUGCUUGUCGUAGUUCUGUGAAAGCAGAUCGUCAGUUCGGCUGGACUUGCACAGGUGCUGCAUGGCUGUCGUCAGCUCGUGUCGUGAGAUGUUGGGUUAAGUCCCGCAACGAGCGCAACCCCUAUGAUUAGUUGCCAGCGAGUAAUGUCGGGGACUCUAGUCAGACUGCCUGUAUUAAACAGGAGGAAGGUGGGGACGACGUCAAGUCAGUAUGGCCCUUACGCCUAGGGCUGCACACGUACUACAAUGCCCAGUACAAUGUGAACCGAUACCGUAAGGUGGAGGAAAUCCUUAAAACUGGGCUCAGUUCGGAUUGUGGGCUGCAACUCGCCCACAUGAAGCUGGAAUCGCUAGUAAUGGCACAUCAGCUACGGUGCCGUGAAUACGUUCCCGGGUCUUGUACACACCGCCCGUCACAUCAUGGAAGCCGCUCGCACCCGAAGUACCUCUAUAGGGUCCUAAGGUGUAGGUGGUAACUGGGAUGAAGUCGUAACAAGGUAGCCGUAGGGGAACCUGCGGCUG
rnacentral:rRNA from 1 species